rnacentral:rRNA from 1 species
AGAGUUUGAUCCUGGCUCAGAACGAACGCUGGCGGCGCGUUUUAAGCAUGCAAGUCGAACGGUAGUAGGGUGCUUGCACCCUAUGAGAGUGGCGAACGGGUGAGUAACACGUAGGUGAUCUGCCCUUGAGUUGGGGAUAGCCCAUGGAAACAUGGGGUAAUACCGAAUACGGUGGCGAGACUAUGGUCUUGUCAAGAAAAGCGCUUCGGCGCUGCUCGAGGAUGAGCCUGCGGCUGAUUAGCUAGUUGGUAGGGUAAAGGCCUACCAAGGCGACGAUCAGUAGCCGGCCUGAGAGGGUGAACGGCCACACUGGGACUGAGAUACGGCCAGACUCCUACUGGAGGCAGCAGCUAAGAAUCUUCCGCAAUGGACGAAAGCCUGACGGAGCGACGCCGCGUGGGUGAUGAAGGCCGGAAGGUUGCAAAGCCCUUUUCUAUCUGAGGAAUAAGCUCAGGAGGCAAUGCCUGAGUGAUGACGGUAGGGUAGGAAUAAGCCCCGGCCAAUUACGUGCCAGCAGCCGCGGUAACACGUAUGGGGCGAGCGUUGUUCGGAAUUAUUGGGCGUAAAGGGCGCGCAGGCGGUUAUACAAGCCUGGUGUGAAAGACCGCAGCUCAACUGCGGGAGCGCGCUGGGGACUGUAUGACUAGAGUUCAAGAGGGGAAGCUGGAAUUCCUGGUGUAGGGGUGAAAUCUGUAGAGAUCAGGAAGAACAUCGGUGGCGAAGGCGAGCUUCUGGCUAUGAACUGACGCUGAGGCGCGAAAGCGUGGGGAGCGAACAGGAUUAGAUACCCUGGUAGCCCACGCUGUAAACGAUGUGCACUAGGUGUCGGGCCAUUGAAGGUUCAGUGCCGUAGCUAACGCGUUAAGUGCACCGCCUGGGGAGUAUGCUCGCAAGGGUGAAACUCAAAGGAAUUGACGGGGGCCCGCACAAGCGGUGGAGCAUGUGGUUUAAUUCGAUGAUACGCGAGGAACCUUACCAGGGUUUGACAUAUGCCGGAAUGCGCAGGAGACUGCGCAGCCCUUCGGGGCCGGUAUACAGGU